GUUUCCGGCCAUGCCACCCUGAACACGCCCAAUCCCGUCUGAUCUCAGAAGCUAAGCAGGGUCGGGCCUGGUUAGUACUUGGAUGGGAGACCACCCCGGAAGACUAGGUGCCAUGGGUG
rnacentral:rRNA from 1 species